rnacentral:rRNA from 1 species
UACGGAGGGUGCAAGCGUUAUCCGGAUUCACUGGGUUUAAAGGGUGUGUAGGCGGGCAGAUAAGUCAGUGGUGAAAUACCUAAGCUUAACUUGGGAACUGCCAUUGAUACUAUUUGUCUUGAAUGUCGUGGAGGUUAGCGGAAUAUGUCAUGUAGCGGUGAAAUGCUUAGAUAUGACAUAGAACACCCAUUGCGAAGGCAGCUAACUACGCGAAUAUUGACGCUGAGGCACGAAAGCGUGGGGAUCAAAUAGG